rnacentral:sRNA from 1 species
AUCUCUAUCCCAAGGGAUUGGCCGUUUAGAGCGUUUAUUGACUUUAUCAGUCUGUUCUUAUUGCCUGCAUAGUUAGAUUCCGUGAAUGGGAAUUAGUCUGGGCUAGCUUUCCUUGAGGAUUUCUAUCACGAGAGUGAAUUGAUCUGUUGUUGAACCAGUUGUCUAGGGAUAGCUUGAUUGCGCUUGUUAACCAUUCGAAUAGGCUAGGAUACCCUUUAUUCGAGUACCCCAUCCUUAGGAAUUUCUCGUCUAUCUGAUUUCUCUGUUUUAUCGUUAUCGCUUAAUCGUUCUCAUUGCCUGUUUCUUCAUUUUUGCAAUUACUCGACCAGUAUACUCGACCACACCCAGUGUCUGGCAACAGACUGUGCAGUUGAGUAUAUCUGUUUUAUAUCAUGUCUGUUACUCGACCUGUUACUCGACCACAUCUUACUUUUGGCAUCAGCCUGUUGUGGUCGAGUGAUUUUAAUAAUUCUGUUAUUAUUUCUGUUUUCUAUCAUGUCUGUUAUAUCAUGUGUAUGAUUGAUCACAUCUCAUUUGUUUGCAUCACACCCAUUUGGAUUGACACCUAAAAUACUACAACGACAUGAUUGGUGUUUUAGGAUAAUUGACUAAAAAUAUAUUUUCAAUUUGACGCCGUUGCCAAUUGGGUGUUUGUUUGCUAUAUUUGAGAUUUUAGAAUAUUUAAGAUCAAGUUCUUUUUCAUUUUUUCUGAAAGUUAAUAACUUUGUGUUUUUUUUGUUUGUCUUUUUUUUGAUUCAGGUACUGCGAAUCACCAGCUUCGCCAGUUGGUACUCGUUGUAUGCAAACACGGUCACAAGGAAAUCAGAAUCUCCUGUUCAACGAUAACAUCGACUGUAUUGCACGCCAACUCAGAACACAGAAAGAAACAGACACAAUGGCUGCAGUUGUAGAUGAGCAAGUGCAACCAAACAACAUAGGUGCAGGCG